rnacentral:rRNA from 1 species
AAGCUCGUAGUUGAAUUUCGGGGUUCUACCGUUGGUCGGGCUUUGUCUGUACUGGCGUGUAGAAUUCCUACCUUCUGGGGAACUAUUAUGUUAUUAAUUUAGCGUGGUGGGAAACCAGGACCUUUACCUUGAAAAAAUUAGAGUGUUCAAAGCAGGCUUAUGUCUGAACACAUUGGCAUGGAAUAAUAGAAUAGGACGGUGGUCCUGUUUUGUUGGUUUCUGAAUCACCGUAAUGAUUAAUAGGGAUAGUUGGG